rnacentral:rRNA from 1 species
AACCAGUAGGCUGAGUCAUUUAUAACGGUAAGAAAGUAAAGGAAAUUUGUUUGCUCUCAAAUUAAUAUUAUAAGGUAAAAUUUGAAUAACUUUAAGUCCUUAGAAGCUUAUUCCGAAGCUGUGAAAUCCUUGAGGGAAACUGGGAUUAGAUACCCCAUUAUUCUUGGAUAUAAAGACUUUACCAGGGCACUACGAACUACGUUUAAAACCCAAAGAGCUUGGCGGUAUUUUAGACCCCCCAGGGGAACCUGUCUCGUAAUCGAUGAUCCGCGCUAUACCUGACCUUACCUACAUGCUUGUAUACCGUCGUCUUCAGGUAACUUCCGAAAAGAAAAAAUUUACCAGAUAACUUGUUAAAUGUUCUACGUCAGAUCAAGGUGCAGCUUAUGGUAAGGGGAGGAUGGGUUACAAUUACUAAUUAUAAAUACGAAUAAUAAGUUGAAACACUUCUUUAAAGGUGGACUUGGAAGUAAAAACAAUAAGAUAAGUGUUUUGAAUAAGGCUCUGAAAUGU